AUUGCUACUCAUCUAGGAAUGAUCGAGGGGAAGUGAAAUCUCAUGGUUCAGGUUUGAAAACUGGGUUUUAUUUUCCAGUGGACUGGAAUGUAUAAAGAAGCCUGGCUUGCAGGAAUCUCCCACGGGCCUCCCCGAGAUCUUUUGUGAAAAUCCUCCAGAUGGAAAUGAGCAGGAAGGACAUGCCUUUGGCCCAGGAGCAGAGGCAGAAUACAAAAGCUAUGGUGUGAGAUGCCUGGAGUCCUAAGGCUCACACUCGCUGGCAGCAGUGCCCACGCCAAACCCUGUGCGAAGGUGGACAACGGUAAGCAGAGCAGGCUCCCAAGAAGAGAAAAGCUGGAGUGAGUGCCCAAGACCAGCUGGAGAGGUUUUGCCUUCCUGUACUGUAACAGCGACCCUACACCUCUGCAAUAGACUGUUUCUAUACCUGACGAACUUAGGAAGUGCUCCUCCUUUCUACCUUCAGUCUCUCCUGCUUCACUUUAAAAGCACCUGGAUGGAAAUGGCACGUGGCUGGAAGCACUUUCCUCAGCAAGGCAGCUCUCCCUGGCUCUCGUCAAGUCAUCUAAAUGUCGUCUUCACAGAUUAAAGCCGAGGGGCCACAGAGGGGCUGUCCCAGCAACAGCUCAGCUGCUUUCCUCUUUGGGGUCCAGGGUCUGUGCUCCCUGAACGAAGAUCCCUUUGACUUCAACAAAUUGGAAUAACACUUAUUUCAAAUAUAUUAUUUGAUGAAAGCAGAUGUCAGCAGAUACUGCCUAUGUAAUUGAUAUUUGAUUUAUUCAAGAUUUAUGCAUGCUGUGCCUUAGAUUUAUUAAUGAUAAUCCCCGGCUCUUGUGUUUAAUAUAGUGGAACCAAAACAUAAUUUGCUGGGAUCAGUCAGAAAUGCAUCAAAGUGAUUAACUCUACAUGCAAACCAUUAUCCAGUGACAUCCCUACUGUGCACAGUGCAAAAGGAGGCAAUAAUACAGUAAUUGGCUUCACUUAUGCAAGUUGGAUAUUUGCCGUGAUUGCUAGGAAAAUUUGGUCCCUUUUAUCUCUGAUUCUGCAUCUCCAUAUCCCUUGUCAUCCUUUGAUGCUCCUUUUGCAGGCAGGCUUCCCUGAACUAAGCAGGUGCAUGCACACAGGCACACAUAACAUCCCACCCCAGCGAUUAUGUGUGAAGGGGGUGCAGAAUCUUACCAAAAUGACCAGGAGGGUAACUCUCCUUCUCAGGAGGCCCCCUGGUGGGGUACCACCUCUGGUGGGAAUGAGGGGCCACCUCUCUCUCCCAGGGGAAUGCCAGCAAAUGGAAAUCAUAUCUCAGCAUUGCUGUCAUCCAUAUCUGUCACCUAUAUCAAAACCCAGACAGGCUGAAAAACCAUUGCCAUCUUGGAGUGGACAUUUGGAGCUAUGCAAACAAUCACUAAGAUAACGUUUUUGCGGGGUGGGGGAGGUGUGGAAAUGACUAUUCAUUUAUGUUUG